UACGUAGGGACCAAGCGUUGUUCGGAUUUACUGGGCGUAAAGGGCGCGUAGGCGGCUUGACAAGUCACUUGUGAAAUCUCCGGGCUUAACUCGGAACGGCCAAGUGAAACUGUCAUGCUAGAGUGCAGAAGGGGCAAUCGGAAUUCUUGGUGUAGCGGUGAAAUGCGUAGAUAUCAAGGGGAACACCUGAGGUGAAGACGGGUUGCUGGGCUGACACUGACGCUGAGGCGCGAAAGCCAGGGGAGCAAACGGG
rnacentral:rRNA from 1 species